GGUCAGCCGACCCGAAAGGCCGCCAUGCGCCUGCCUGGGGCCUCCUCUCCCUGCGGCCUGGUCUGGGGACCACUCCUGCUGGGAUUCUGCGGGCUCCUGGUGGCCUCUCAGCCCCAGCUGGUGAGGGAGGGACUAGGUGGAACGGGCCAGGUUUCUCUCUAGCCCUUCUGCCCUCCAGAGCUGACCCUGCCUCAUUCUUCUCUGUCUCCGCCUCCCCUGGAAGGUGCCCCCAUAUCGCAUAGAAAACCAAACUUGCUGGGACCCGGACAAGGAAUACUACGAGCCUCUGCAUCAAGUCUGCUGCUCCCGCUGUCCCCCAGGCAAGUUUGUCCAUGCUGUCUGCAGCCCCAGCCAAGACACGGUUUGCAAGACUUGCCUCCAUAAUUCCUACAACGAACACUGGAACCAUCUCUUCUCCUGCCAGCUGUGCCGCCCCUGUGACUCUGUGCUGGGCUUCGAGGAGAUUGCCCCCUGCACCAGCGAUCGGAAACCCGAGUGCCGCUGCAAGCCGGGGAUGUCCUGCGUGUAUUUGGACAAUGAGUGUGUGCACUGUGAGGAGGAGCGGCUUGUACUCUGCCGGCCUGGCACAGAAGCUGAGGUCACAGAUGAAAUUAUGGAUACUGAAGUCAACUGUGUCCCCUGUAAGCCAGGACACUUCCAGAACACGUCCUCCCCCAGAGCCCGCUGUCAACCCCACACCAG
rnacentral:lncRNA from 1 species